CGGACGGGUGAGUAACACGUGGAUAACCUACCUAUAAGACUGGGAUAACUUCGGGAAACCGGAGCUAAUACCGGAUAAUAUUUUAAACCGCAUGGUUCAAAAGUGAAAGACGGUCUUGCUGUCACUUAUAGAUGGAUCCGCGCUGCAUUGGCUAGUUGGUAAGGUAACGGCUUACCAAGGCAACGAUGCAUAGCCGACCUGAGAGGGUGAUCGGCCACACUGGAACUGAGACACGGUCCAG
rnacentral:rRNA from 1 species